rnacentral:rRNA from 1 species
AAUAGAUACCCAGGUAGUCCAUGCCGUAAACGAUGUCUACUAGCCGUUGGGGCCUUUGAGGCUUUAGUGGCGCAGCUAACGCGAUAAGUAGACCGCCUGGGGAGUACGGUCGCAAGACUAAAACUCAAAUGAAUUGACGGGGGCCCGCACAAGCGGUGGAGCAUGUGGUUUAAUUCGAUGCAACGCGAAGAACCUUACCUGGUCUUGACAUAGUAAGAACUUUCCAGAGAUGGAUUGGUGCCUUCGGGAACUUACAUACAGGUGCUGCAUGGCUGUCGUCAGCUCGUGUCGUGAGAUGUUGGGUUAAGUCCCGCAACGAGCGCAACCCUUUUCCUAUUUGCCAGCGGUUAAACCGGACUUUAAGGAUACUGCCAGUGACAAACUGGAGGAAGGCGGGGACGACGUCAAGUCAUCAUGGCCCUUAGACCAGGGCUACACACGUGCUACAAUGGUCGGUACAAAGGGUUGCGUACCACGCGAGUGGAUGCUAAUCUCAAAAAGCCGAUCGUAGUCCGGAUUGGAGUCCUGCAACUCGACUCC